GUGGGGAAUUUUGGACAAUGGGCGAAAGCCUGAUCCAGCCAUGCCGCGUGCAGGAUGAAGGCCUUCGGGUUGUAAACUGCUUUUGUACGGAACGAAACGGUCCGGGUUAAUACCCUGGGCUAAUGACGGUACCGUAAGAAUAAGCACCGGCUAACUACGUGCCAGCAGCCGCGGUAAUACGUAGGGUGCAAGCGUUAAUCGGAAUUACUGGGCGUAAAGCGUGCGCAGGCGGUUUUGUAAGACAGGCGUGAAAUCCCCGGGCUCAACCUGGGAAUUGCGCUUGUGACUGCAAGGCUGGUGUGCGGCAGAGGGGGAUGGAAUUCCGCGUGUAGCAGUGAAAUGCGUAGAUAUGCGGAGGAACACCGAUGGCGAAGGCAAUCCCCUGGGCCUGCACUGACGCUCAUGCACGAAAGCGUGGGGAGCAAACAGGAUUAGAUACCCCUGUAGUCC
rnacentral:rRNA from 1 species